UACGGAGGGGGCUAGCGUUGUUCGGAAUUACUGGGCGUAAAGCGCACGUAGGCGGCUUUGUAAGUUAGAGGUGAAAGCCCAGAGCUCAACUCUGGAAUUGCCUUUAAGACUGCAUCGCUAGAAUUGUGGAGAGGUAAGUGGAAUUCCGAGUGUAGAGGUGAAAUUCGUAGAUAUUCGGAAGAACACCAGUGGCGAAGGCGGCUCACUGGACCGUUGUUGACGCUGAGGUGCGAAAGCGUGGGGAGCAAACAGGG
rnacentral:rRNA from 1 species